rnacentral:lncRNA from 1 species
CUAUAUGAGUCUGUAUCAUGCACUUACUACUACUUGCACCAUAGGAGAAGUCACCACUGCAGAAGAUAUCACAGGAGAAGUCACCACUGCAGAAGAUAUCACAGGAGAAGUCACCAUAGGAUUUUGAAUAAUUGGACAACUAGGACCAGCAGUAGUAAAAUAUUAUUCUGCAAAUAUGAUCUCAACACUAUCCAUUUGCACCAUCGGAGUUACUAAAG